rnacentral:rRNA from 1 species
AGUGAACGCUGACGGUAGGCCUAACACAUGCAAGUCGAACGGCAGCACAGUAAGAGCUUGCUCUUACGGGUGGCGAGUGGCGGACGGGUGAGGAAUACAUCGGAAUCUACUUUUUCGUGGGGGAUAACGUAGGGAAACUUACGCUACUACCGCAUACGACCUACGGGUGAAAGCAGGGGAUCUUCGGACCUUGCGCGAUUGAAUGAGCCGAUGUCGGAUUAGCUAGUUGGCUGGGUAAAGGCCCACCAAGGCGACGAUCCGUAGCUGGUCUGAGAGGAUGAUCAGCCACACUGGAACUGAGACACGGUCCAGACUCCUACGGGAGGCAGCAGUGGGGAAUAUUGGACAAUGGGCGCAAGCCUGAUCCAGCCAUACCGCGUGGGUGAAGAAGGCCUUCGGGUUGUAAAGCCCUUUUGUUGGGAAAGAAAAGCAGCAGGUUAAUACCCCGCUGUUCUGACGGUACCCAAAGAAUAAGCACCGGCUAACUUCGUG